rnacentral:lncRNA from 1 species
UUUAAAAAAUUCAAACAAUCCUUAUUUUGGUGUUAGAAAAAAGAUAACAUUCUGUACUGUUUUAGUCGUUUUCAAUUGGGUGGUCUUGCUUAAUCAACAAGGCUAGUCUUAGAAAUUUAGUGUGUUGCAUUGUCUGCACACUCACAUCAUAUAUGUAAAACUACGUACAUGUUUUACAUAUAAGUAUGCAUGAUUUUUUCACUGCAUAUUUUCUGUGACUUGCAUAUUUUCUGGGAAGUUUUUUUAGAUUAUGUGUCCGUCAUUUGACUAGUAGUAUAAUAAAAUAGGUGAAUUUACUGGGAUUAUGUCAUUGUGUUCUCCCUGCUCGACUGCUUCCAUUUGGAAAACAUGAAUUACCUGAUGCUUGUAUCUCACCAGGAUUAUGAGGGCUUCAAAGACGAUGAGCUGGAGGUACUUGAAAGAAGAAGUGGAUGGGGUUCUCUGUACACGAGUGAUCCUCAAGUUCUUUGCAUGGACUCGAGUGAUCCACAAAAUCCUCCUGGUUAUAUUGGCCGGCAAAGUUGUGAGCCGCUCACCACACAGCAGUUUUUUCACUGCGCCAGAAUUGGCAACAGCUGCUAGAUGGCAAGAAGACAUACCUCCGCCCGCCAAAGAACAACUGUGUUGCCAAGGACAAUUAUGCCAGCUGCCUCUUUGUAACCCCAGAACCUCUUCAGAAGGCAAUACAAUGUCAGGUAUAAAUAUUGUAGCCUCAUAAGCUACUUAACUGAAUUUACUUGUUUGUUCCUUAAUCAUGAAUUGUUUCUCCUUCAUAGUGAAGUUUCUUUUUCAUGCUCAAUGAAAUGGUCUGGCAUCUGAAAUUUUAUACCAUCAUCAACUAUCAUUAAGUAUCCAGAAGUUUUGCCAUUGUUCUCUAUUGAAACAUCUGUGUUCUGUGAUGCCCUGACCGUACCCUGUUCAUUGUGUUUGUAGAUAAGAUUUGCUAAUCAAUGGAAAUAAAUAUGUGAUGAUGAUUUGCACUAAACAUUUCCUGGACUGUUUUCAGAUUCCUUGAGUGCGUCCUAAGUCUUGGCUUAGAUAUUCCAGUCAUGAUUUCUUAAAUAUAUUAAAAAUAAAGCUGGUGCAUCUCUUGGUCAGGCUGGAUGUUUCUGUUCCAUUAUCGAGAAAAUGUUACCCAUAAAAUAGAUUUGGUCUUUCACACUAAAACAAUUCUUGUUUUUGUAAUUUGGUGUCCUGGAAAAAAAUUGUAAAUAUUGCCAUGAACAGAUACAGUGUGCCCCUGCAGUAUUUGUACAAUGAAAAUAUCGUGAAAGUCAACCAGAAAGUUAAGUAUGUCUUAAACAAUGUUGAAUACUUGGUUACCAGAGACUUCAUGGGUUCAUAAUCUUUACUGCAAGCACUAGCUAGCUUGCAAGUCUUUUUACGCAAAGACAUAUUGCCGUGAAUCUUAUAGUAUUUUUUGUAAAAAAAAGAAAGUAAACUCGUGUUCCCCAUGCCUUGCCUCAGCAAAACUUAUCUGGAUCAUCUUAAGUGAAUCUUAUGAAUCAAUUAUUAUGCCUAUGUGAUGCUAACUCUCUUACAACCAUAGGUGCCAGUGCCACUAUCUGAUCUGAUUUUGUUCGUGCAGCCGCUGAAAAUCCUACAUUUUGUUAAUAAAUUCAUAUGUUGUUUCUCUCGGUCAUUGAAUGUUCACAUGGACAAAUGUGUCCGCCGUUGUGAUUAUUUAUUUGCCAUGCACAAUUGUUUCAUGCAUCUGUUAUAGUUUUAUUUAUAUUUAUGUUACUGUGGUGUGCUGUUUCAAUACCUAUUUUACACGCACAAUGUAAUGGUUUAUGUGCUGUUUCAAUACCUAUUUUACACGCACAAUGUAAUGGUUUAUUGAAAUCUGCACCUUAAUUUUGCUGUGGUCUUAAAUUCAUGUUGCUUUGCAUAAUUUAG